rnacentral:rRNA from 1 species
GACGAACGCUGGCGGCGUGCUUAACACAUGCAAGUCGAACGCGCCUGUCCUCUGGGUUUCUGGGGGGUGGGUGAGUGGCGAACGGGUGAGUAACACGUGAGUAACCUGUCCCCUUCUUCGGGAUAACGGUCUGAAAGGGCUGCUAAUACCGGGUAUUCACUGGUCUCCGCAUGGGGUCUGGUGGAAAGGUUUUUUUCUGGUGGGGGAUGGGCUCGCGGCCUAUCAGCUUGUUGGUGGGGUGAUGGCCCACCAAGGCUUUGACGGGUAGCCGGCCUGAGAGGGUGACCGGUCACAUUGGGACUGAGAUACGGCCCAGACUCCUACGGGAGGCAGCAGUGGGGAAUAUUGCACAAUGGGCGCAAGCCUGAUGCAGCGACGCCGCGUGAGGGAUGGAGGCCUUCGGGUUGUGAACCUCUUUCGCCCGUGGUCAAGCCGCGACGUGGGUCGUGGUGAGGGUAGUGGGUAAAGAAGCGCCGGCUAACUACGUG